UACGGAGGGGGCAAGCGUUGUUCGGAAUUACUGGGCGUAAAGGGCGCGUAGGCGGCUGCUCAAGUCAGGCGUGAAAGGCCUGGGCUCAACCCGGGAAUUGCGCUUGAGACUGGGCUGGCUUGAGUGCGGGAGUGGAUGGUGGAAUUCCCAGUGUAGAGGUGAAAUUCGUAGAUAUUGGGAAGAACACCGGUGGCGAAGGCGGCCAUCUGGACCGCAACUGACGCUGAGGCGCGAAAGCGUGGGGAGCAAACAGG
rnacentral:rRNA from 1 species